rnacentral:rRNA from 1 species
AACGCGAAGAACCUUACCUGGGUUUGACAUGCACAGGACGCCGGUAGAGAUAUCGGUUCCCUUGUGGUCUGUGUGCAGGUGGUGCAUGGCUGUCGUCAGCUCGUGUCGUGAGAUGUUGGGUUAAGUCCCGCAACGAGCGCAACCCUUGUCUCAUGUUGCCAGCGCGUUAUGGCGGGGACUCGUGAGAGACUGCCGGGGUCAACUCGGAGGAAGGUGGGGAUGACGUCAAGUCAUCAUGCCCCUUAUGUCCAGGGCUUCACACAUGCUACAAUGGCCGGUACAAAGGGCUGCGAUGCCGUGAGGCUUAGCGAAUCCUUUAAAGCCGGUCUCAGUUCGGAUCGGGGUCUGCAACUCGACCCCGUGAAGUCGGAGUCGCUAGUAAUCGCAGAUCAGCAACGCUGCGGUGAAUACGUUCCCGGGCCUUGUA